rfam:Triticum aestivum genome assembly, contig: Triticum_aestivum_CS42_TGACv1_scaffold_321013_4BL
UUAGAACUCCCUCCGUCCCAAAAUUCUUGUCUUAUAUUUGUCUACGUAGGGAAGUAUCUAACACUAAAACAUGACUAGAUACAUCCAUAUUUAGACAAAUCAAAGACAAGAAUUUUGGGACGUGGGGAGUAUUAA